rnacentral:tmRNA from 1 species
GGGGGUGAUUCGGCUUCGACGGGGAUGAGGAUGCAUAGAAUUGCAUACCGUGGUCACCGUGUUCCACGUUAACAAAGCGGUAAAAUAAUAAGUGCCAAUUACGAUUACGCACUGGCUGCCUAAUUAAAAUAGGCAACCCGUCGCUUACAGGUUCGCUCAUCGACUUGUAAGACGACGUCGCUUAGAUGAGCUAGUCUUUGGAUAUUCUCAGGAUCCGAGGAUGAACACACCUAAAGUGUGAUACUGAGAUGGUGCAAGGUCAAUCCUGUCCACCGGAGUUUCCUUGCACGAGAAUUAAAGGUGGACUAUGUAUGUAGAAGUUCUAUGGGUCUUCUCUUCGGACCGGGGUUCGAAUCCCCGCACCUCCACGA